CGUCCCUCCCCCAUCUAUGAGUAUAAAAAUCCCAGACUCAGCCACACUGGGGGAGAUGACCCAACUUCAGGUCCAAUCUUCAAUACUGUUUUCAUGAUGGAACGCUUGCCAUGGUUGCAGAAUGGGAAGGACAAAUCUGCCCACUGCAGGAAAAAAAGUUCUAUUCCAGAUGAAGAGUAACUAGAAAAAAUAUCUAUCUCUGAACAUUAGAAUCACACUCAGCCUGAUGAGAUGCUCACACCGAGGAAUACCGGAAGUGAGACCGACUAAACGGACCUCAGGUAGAGGACAGGCAUAAAACUGCCUGCCCUUGUUUUCCCCAUCCUUCCUCACAACUCGGAGAAUGCAGAGGCGGUUGUGUUUACUGCAGCGAGGGCUGUCAGGAUUUAAGGAUUAUUUCGAGGAUUAAAACAAACAAAAGUGAAAUGACUCAUUCUGGACGGCCCCAGGUGGUUCUGAAAUCCUGUGACUGAAAACUCCAAGAAACAACCAAGAGACAAGGACAUGGUAUGUCUAUGAUAGUAACGGGGGUGAAGCAGCUGAGUGGAAGAAGAUAUAGAGUGCUGUAGAGAAAAGUAUUGGAGAACAAGAAGAGUGAUGCAGAAAAUGAAACGCAGGGACACAAAGAAAAAGCACGCAGUUCUGGACAUAUUUAUGAAGACUUAAGCUGGGACUUCCUCUGCACACCAGCUCCCUCCCCUGCCCCCAGCUCUACAGACAUGACGGCCCUUCCCACCUCCCGGGUUUCCCACAGUCGAGUGGUGCCCUGAGUCUCUUCCUAUGUCCAAUCCUAUGGUUUUGUUUCCUUUGCUUUUUCUUUCCUGCCCACUUUGUAGUUAUAGGUAUUUGCUGAAGCUCAGACCUUGGCUCAUUUCCUUUUUCUUUCUUACUGAACUGAGAAGUUGGAAUGCUUCAAUCAACAGCACUAUGCCGACAGCCUCUCUCAUCCUGGAUCGCAGCCCCUAAGACAUGUCUUCCUGGAUAUUCCAGGGUUCUUUCACAUAUCUAACACAUACUGCAUCUUCACUGCUGCAUCCCAAUUUUCCCACACCCACAAUGUGAAAAUUUUUAUUAUUUGGUCCUGAAACCUUUUGCAUCAUCCUACCUAUCAAAUCUGCCACAGUCCUUGUUGACUUUUAAAAAGUUUUACUAGAGUACCAUGUCCAGUGUCUUGACCCCAGGCUGGUAACCAUCACUUGCCCGUUACUCUGCACCAGCUUCUUUACAUGCAUUUUCAGUCUCUUCGUUUUCCAUGUUAACUAUGCUACAAUCAACUAAAAGUCCUUAACGCGCUAAUUUAGGAAAGACCUUAACCAUCCUCCAAACUACUAAUGACUCCCACCAUUUGAUCCCACUAUCCCUGUAAAACUAGCUUUUAUUAUUCCACAACGUGGAGCCUCUGUUGGGGUUGGCCAGUAUUCUCAUCAUUCCUCCAC